UAUACCUUCUAUUUUUAUAUUAAUUAAAAAAAUAGUAUACUUUUUUUUAUUAACCGAUAUAAAAAUCUUUUAUAACACAUUAUAUAAAUAAUUCAAUACUUAAUUUAUGGAUAAAAGUAACAUAAGCUUAAAUCAAGGUACUUUAAUAUUAUCUACAAAAGCGUAAACACUCUAAAUUAGUCGAAACAACAAUAUUAACAAGUUGAGUUGGAGUAUGCGUAAUUCAAUAUAAAACAAUUUUUAUAGAAAAAAUUUUAAUCGACAUGAUGAGUGCUAUAAGUGGUAUUACGUACUUGACAGAGUUUGAUUAAAACAAAUCAGAAAGAUAUAGUUUUCAAAAUAAAAAAUCUCCAAGUAUAAAAUAUUACACAUUCCUGGUCUGGUAUCUGAUUAUAUGUAAUAUAUAUGGACAUAAAAUUAUAUGAAACAAUUAUCAUAAGAAGAUGUAUCAAUUCAUUAACCAUCUUAAAUAUAGGGUAAUAUAUUGCAGAGCAUUAUGUUGAAUGCAUAAUAUUAUUAUUUUUAAUUUGAAGACCUUGUCAAGAGAAUUUACUGGCUGCAAAGACAAAAUUAUUUAUAAUAUUAGGAUAACAUAUAUUUACAUCUACUUAAUAUAUUAUAAAAAUUAAAAAUCUUAAAAAAAAUAAUUUGUAUAUUUUUAAAAGAAAAAAUAAUAAUAAUAAAUAAUAUUAAAUAAAUACAGUAUACGUGUGAAAAUAUCAUUUCCGUUAAAAUUAAUAAAGUAAAAGCGAGUCAUAAAACCUAAUUGAAGCAUCAUGACAGAGACAGCUAAAACGUGAUACUUUUAUUUUUUUUUUAUAUAUAUAUAUAUAUAUAUAUAUAUAUAUAUAUAUAUAUAUAUAUAUAAAGAAAGAAAAAGUUGCGUUGAAGAUGGUAUCAGAUGAGUGAACACGGCAAGGCAAGCAUGGCAUCGAGAUUGAUGCGUGUUCUGUCGUAUUACCGCGAAUUGGGUGAAGUGAAGUUAAAGUGGGCAUUUUGCAGACUCUGCCAUUCAGUGAGUCACGUGACAUUACAUCAACGCGUUUUACUUUAAUAAUAUAAUGAUAUUUAAAAUUAAAAAUAUAGUUAUAAUAAAAUUUUACCAGUGGUAAAAAAUAUCAUCCCAAAUUAAAUAAAAACAGUCCUUUCAGUUUGAAAAUAAUGGCAGUUGAAUGGUUGAUUUAAGGCGCGGUGAGCGUGGCGAGGGUGGUAAGGGCUUGGUAUAUAUUAUUAGGGUGGGAGUGUGUUGAGUGAGUGAAAGAGGUUUCCUCUGGAAAAGAUGAGGCAGAAAGGAAAGAGAGCUAUGAGCGAGGAAGGGUUCGGUAAUGGGUGGUUAGGUAAGAGAAAUCAGAUUAUUCUCUCUGUGUUCUUUUCCUCUUGCCUGAGCCUCCCAUUCCUAAUACUUCCUAGUUCCUCUCCUUCCUCUUUUAUUUGCCUUCCAUUUCAAUUCACACUAGGUUCGUGAUUUCUAUGUUUAUGCUCUUUUAUUUCUGCAAUUCGUAUAAUAUCAAAAGCAAUUUUGGAAAGAAUCACACGAGUUCAUGUGCAGCGUCAACUCACCAGUGUGAAGAACAACCGAUUCACACGAGUUUCUUACAUUUCGUCACAGGAUCAGUGACCAAGACUCAUUUCCGUAACCACAUCACGAGUUUCCGAGUUGUAAUCUCAAGUUUUUUUAAAUAAAAAUUCUAGAAUAUUUUCUAUAUUGAGAUUUAUAAUUUGAUUCGAUUUCACCAGUUGUGAGAUGUAGUAAGGAGAUAUUAUCAUACGAAAAAUGUAGAGCAAAAUUUCUCCUA